rnacentral:sRNA from 1 species
UUUUUCUUGUUGUAAAAUAUAAUAUAACAAUAAGUGUGAAGUAAAGUGUAUGUUGAAAUCUGAAAAGUCUAAAAAGUAAAUGUGGCUAAGGGCGCCAGAGCCAAAGCAAGAAAUUUGAAUUGAAUUUGAAUUUGAAUUUGAAUUUGAGUUGAAAUGUGUGCGAAAAUAUUUCGGAUCUGAGAGAUCGCCUCAAACUUGUGAGUGCAAUUCCAAGGCGCGCAAUACGAAAUACUUUGGAAUUAGCUUGCACUGCAUUGAUCGCAUCGAACAGAGCCGAAAUACCCUGGAAUUGAAUGUGGCAAACAUGCAGCGGAAGCUUUGCGUUGGCGUGCAGCGUGCGGCGAGCUCUACGCUUCUAGGUGAGCCCCGCUAGGGCGACAGAGCGAGCGGUCGGGGCGUGGCCAGCAGCGACAUGAUGGCUGCCUUUGCCUCAGCAGCCGGCGUCGCGGUGGUCGUGCCGGCA